CUGCUACUUCUUGCUGUCUCUAGGUCUCCAUCUCCCCACACGCACCUCCUUCUCCCUCGCCCCACGCGUCUGGCUCUCCCAUCUCCCCUGAACCCCUCUUUUUCAUCGCAGUUCUUCACUGUCAGGUGUUUCCCCCCGACUCUGGCCAAACAGAUCAAAGGAAGUUCUGCAUAAAAGGAGGGAGACCCUGAGGAGAGGGCGGCCGAGAGGGAGAGGGAAGGAAUCACGGCGCCACUCCUGCGGAAAUUCAUAUUCCGUGUAUGUUCCUCCGUCACCUGAAAUAAAUCCUGCCGGCCUACCCACACAGACCCAGCAGCACUUAUUUAUUUGCAUGUCAUGCUUAUAAUAUGGUAGAAAGCAAGACGGAUCUUCGAGGAGGGGAGGGGAUGAGGCUCACCCUUCAGGCUCACUCUCUUAAAUAAAAAAGAAUUGACCGGCUGGGCGCAUAAGAAUUUAUCUUGAGUUUGUGGUCAUUAUCUCUAUUAUAUAGCCCCGGCAAUAAAUAAAUCGGGUAGUUACUACCCAACAAUAAAACUGUAGUGUAUGGGACACCUUACUAUUACUUUCUUAAUAAUCUGCCGUUUCUUUCACUUUAAAUCUUCCCAGUCAUGUCUUCACACUCGUCUACAAGGAUC
rnacentral:lncRNA from 1 species